rnacentral:tRNA from 1 species
ACGUUAGCGGAAACUCUUCAGUCUAGCGGCGGUCGGCUUGUUCAUGAGCGAAGCCGUUGCGAAAUCCCGAUCAUGAACUGCACCCGGAGCGGUUGUUAGGGCAAUACUUUUGGACAGGGGUUCGACUCCCCUCGUCUCCACCA